rnacentral:misc_RNA from 1 species
GAAAUGCGAUAAGUAGUGUGAAUUGCAGAAUUCAGUGAAUCAUCGAAUCUUUGAACGCACAUUGCGCCCGCCAGUAUUCUGGCGGGCAUGCCUGUCCGAGCGUCAUUUCAACCAUCAAGCCCCCGGGCUUGUGUUGGGGACCUGCGGCUGCCCGCAGGCCCUGAAAACCAGUGGCGGGCUCGCUGUCACACCGAGCGUAGUAGCAAUCACCUCGCUCAGGGCGUGCUGCGGGUUCCGGCCGUUAAACAGCCUUACAAAACCCAAGGUUGACCUCGGAUCAGGUAGGAAGACCCGCUGAACUUAAGA